GGCGCCAUAGCCAAGUGGUAAGGCAGCGGACUGCAAAUCCGCGACUCCCCGGUCCAAAUCCGGGUGGCGCCUCCA
rnacentral:tRNA from 1 species